GCACGUACCAGGUCAGGUCUCGACCCACAAAGAAAUCGUUGAUGUCACACAGGAAGAUACAGAUGGCAAGAGCCAAGAGAUGACUACCAGAAAGAGACUGUGAAGCUGGGAGAGUGUGAUCAGAAUUAGAGCAAUGAAAUGCGUUGGAAUUUUUGAGAUACGUCAGAGGAUGCUCAAGACAAACCACUGCUCGCCCUGUGUCACAAAGAACAUGGGAGCAGGAUGGAGACGUGCAUACUCACAAUCCACCACAAGAGAGCGCUCAUCAAAAGGGAGUGAAAGGUCAUCCUGCCCUAAAUAUGCACCGGAAGAGUAAAUCCCUGCCUGAAAAGCUUGGGAAUAUUUUUAUCAUCAGGCACUGCUGCUAGAAUUGGUAAAACAACGAUCCAAAUUAAGAUUUUUUUGCUCCAAUACUAUUUUUGUGUUGUCAGUCCCAUUUCUGUAAAGAAUUCUUAGAGACACUCUGUAAAGAAUGAAAACACAUUUUUCCUGUCUGGUAAAACUGAAACCAAAUGAGUUGCUCACAUAAAACAAUUCCAGUAAGCGUCAGCAUUACGCGAAUUUUAUUUUAGGUAGGCUUUACUAAAAAUUGGAGACUAAAAGGGAUUCAGCCUGCAUUUCCCUUUUAGAAAGGAAGGGAAGAUGUGAAUUUCAAUUCUUUAUAAACUAUUGACGAGUGAAGAACUUGAGUUCAAAUUCCAGUUUUACCUCCCAUAAGUGUUCUUAGCAGCUGUCUCAGCCUUGCUGUCUCUCCAUAUCAUUGGUACCAGGUUUGUCUUGGAUAGCUCUUUCCUUCAAAUGGCUUCCACUGACAAAUCCAUCCUAUAGAUCUAAUCUGUCAACCAAGAGUCUGUUAGGUUUCCAGGUACCCAGCCACCAAGAGGUGGUAUGUGUCCUAUAGGCCAGAACAGGCACUGGGGUUGGGCAUUUCUGUGUUUGAAUGCUGGCUCUGCUUCUUACUAGGUCUAUGUAACUAUGGGCUAGUCUUUCAAUAUGCCUCAGCCUCUGUCUCCUUACCCAUAAAAUGCAAAUAACAAUAGAGCAUAGACAGGGGUAGGGGAUUAAGAGGUACAAACUACUAUGUGUAAAAUAAAUAAGCUACAAGGAUAUAUUGUGCAGCACAGGAAUAUAGCCAAUAGUUUAUAAUAACUAUAAAUGAAGUAAAACCUUUAAAAAUUGUGAAUCACUAUGUGGUACAUCUGAAACUUAUAUAA